rnacentral:rRNA from 1 species
GAUGAACGCUGGCGGCGUGCCUAAUACAUGCAAGUCGAGCGAACAGACGAGGAGCUUGCUCCUCUGACGUUAGCGGCGGACGGGUGAGUAACACGUGGAUAACCUACCUAUAAGACUGGGAUAACUUCGGAAAACCGGAGCUAAUACCGGAUAAUAUAUUGAACCGCAUGGUUCAAUAGUGAAGGACGGUUUUGCUGUCACUUAUAGAUGGAUCCGCGCCGCAUUAGCUAGUUGGUAAGGUAACGGCUUACCAAGGCAACGAUGCGUAGCCGACCUGAGAGGGUGAUCGGCCACACUGGAACUGAGACACGGUCCAGACUCCUACGGGAGGCAGCAGUAGGGAAUCUUCCGCAAUGGGCGAAAGCCUGACGGAGCAACGCCGCGUGAGUGAUGAAGGUCUUCGGAUCGUAAAACUCUGUUAUUAGGGAAGAACAAAUGUGUAAGUAACUAUGCACGUCUUGACGGUACCUAAUCAGAAAGCCACGGCUAACUACGUG